rnacentral:rRNA from 1 species
GACGAACGCUGGCGGCGUGCUUAACACAUGCAAGUCGAACGGAAAGGCCCUGCUUUUGUGGUGUUCUCGAGUGGCGCGCGGGUGAGUAACACGGGUGUAACCUGCCCUUGACUUUGGGAAAACUUGAGGAAACUGGGGCUAAUACCGGAUAGGAGCUCCUGCUGCAUGGUGUGGGUUGGAAAUUUUCGGCGGGUGGGGAUGGACGGCCGGCUUAUCAGCUUGUUGGGGGGGGAGUGGCUUACCAAGGGUUUGAGGGGCGGCCGGCCGGGGUGGGUGACCGGCCACAUUGGGACUAGAAUACGGCCAGACCCCCUAGGGGAGGCAGAGUUGGGGAAUAUUGCCAAAUGGGCGAAAGCCUGAUGCAGCAACGCCGCGUGCGGGAUGACGGCCUUCGGGUUGUAAACCGCUUUCGCCUGUAACGAAGCGUGAGUGACGGUAAUGGGUAAAGAAGCACCGGCUAACUACGUG